GCACAUUCAUUACUUCUAAGACAAUUCAAAGGAAAAAAACUAGGGUUUGUGUUUCUUCCAAGCCGUCGCCCCUCUCCCACCUGAAUCACCGGCGACGUUACUCCAUUUCAUGUCUUCGGUCAACGAUAGCCUAUCGCCUAUGUGAAAAAAAUUAUACUUGUCUAUUCCUGGGUUUUUUAGUUCACGUCUUCAUAAGGGUUAGCUAUUUCCAAUGGAUACUCCAGAUGAAAACAACAAGUGUGAACUGGUUUCUGAAAAUAAGGAAUUUAACCAAGAAGUGAUUAGGAAAGCUUUAGUAAACUUGUUGAUUGUUGGUGAACUACUUUUAGAUUUAUGUCCGGAUUUGACUUGUUUUAAAUGAUUGUGAUUGUUUGAAACUUUGGAUUAUUUAAGUUUGAAUGCUUAUUAUUUUUUAUGUUAAACACUUGGUUGUGUUGAUCCGGGUUUGGAUUUAAACAUUGUUGAAUACAGGUUUGGAUUUAAUCA